AAGGCCUUCGGGUUGUAAAGCACUUUUGUCCGGAAAGAAAACCUCUGCCCUAAUAUGGCGGAGGGAUGACGGUACCGGAAGAAUAAGCACCGGCUAACUACGUGC
rnacentral:rRNA from 1 species